GACGAACGCUGGCGGCGUGCUUAACACAUGCAAGUCGAACGGAAAGGCCCUGCUUUUGUGGGGUGCUCGAGUGGCGAACGGGUGAGUAACACGUGAGUAACCUGCCCUUGACUUUGGGAUAACUUCAGGAAACUGGGGCUAAUACCGGCUAGGAGCUCCUGCUGCAUGGUGGGGGUUGGAAAGUUUCGGCGGUUGGGGAUGGACUCGCGGCUUAUCAGCUUGUUGGUGGGGUAGUGGCUUACCCAGGCUUUGACGGAUAGCCGGCCUGAGAGGGUGACCGGCGACAUUGGGACUGAGAUACGGCCCAGACUCCUACGGGAGGCAGCAGUGGGGAAUAUUGCACAAUGGGCGGAAGCCUGAUGCAGCAACGCCGCGUGCGGGAUGACGGCCUUCGGGUUGUAAACCGCUUUCGCCUGUGACGAAGCGUGAGUGACGGUAAUGGGUAAAGAAGCACCGGCUAACUACGUG
rnacentral:rRNA from 1 species